rnacentral:sRNA from 1 species
UACUUAUAGCUGUAUGUGAGAUUGAUGA